rnacentral:rRNA from 1 species
GAGACCCACGCCAACAGUUGCCAGCUCGUCCUCCGGGAUGGAGGGGACACUGUUGGGACCGCCUCUGCUAAAGAGGAGGAAGGAAUGGGCAACGGUAGGUCAGCAUGCCCCGAAUUAUCCGGGCUACACGCGGGCUACAAUGGUCAGGACAAUGGGUAUCGACACCGAGAGGUGAAGGCAAUCUCUUAAACCUGUCCUUAGUUCGGAUUGUGGGCUGCAACUCGCCCACAUGAAGCUGGAAUCCGUAGUAAUCGCGUCUCAAAAUGGCGCGGUGAAUAU